AUGGAGUUCCCUGUCCAGAUCCUGUUGAUGUUAGUGAUGCAGAUUCCUGGCUUAUAUGGAUCAAUUGUGAUGUCCCAAUCUCCUUCCUCUGUGUCUGUGUUUCCGGGAGAAAAAGUUACCAUGUUUUGUCAAACCAGUGAGCCUGUGAGUUACCUGUAUGGCCUUCGGACAUCCAGCAGUUUACACUGGUAUCAACAGAAACCAGGGCAAAGUCCUAAGCCAAUCAUCUAUAGAGAUUCCUACCUUAAGGAAGGUGUCCCAGAAAGAUUUGCUGGUGGAGGAGGUCACAUGGAUUUCACUCUUACUAUCAAUGGUUUUGAAGUUGAAGAUGCUGCUACCUAUUACUGUCUGCAAAGUGAAGAAUGGCCUCCCACAAUGAUAUAA